CCCAGUCUAAUCAUGAGAAUCCACCAGACAGACCCAAAUUGAGGGGGAUUCUACAAAAUACACGACCCGCACUCUUCUAAGGUGUCAAGGUCAUGAAAAACAAGACUGGAAAACCAACACAGACUGGAGGAGACUAAGAAGACCUGACAACUAAAUGCCAUGUGGGACCCUGGAGGGGACCCGGGAACAGUAGUAGAAGAGCUGGUGACAUCUGAAUGAAGUCUGUAAUUUGGGUAACAGUACUGUACCAAUGUUAAUUUCCCUGCUCUGCCAAUGCGAUGAGGGGCCCCUGCUGUAUGAAAUUGAAGAAAGAGUUGGACAACCAAGACACGUGAAGAGAGAGCAUGAGACUGGCUCCAGCACUCAGCAUUAGGAGAGCAUGGACUUCCUUCCAAUUGUGCCACCUUUCACAGACCUACCCUCAAGAAACCUUCAGCCUGAGUCCCUGUGUCAAAUGUCAAACUCUUGAGAAAGAGACUGAUAAGCUCAGCUCGAGGCCAGGAGAGAGAACCUGCUAUCUCUGGGGUCCAGAACAGAAGAGAUGAUGGCAAUGCACCUUGCAGGUGCAGUUUCCUUGGGGACCCCUGAACAAGGAGGUUGUUAUCUGGCCAUCUUCAUUCCCACCUUGUGGGAACUGGGUCCAGGGAACCAACACAAAUAAGCUGACAACUUGGCUACUGCUUUUGCUACUUGCAUCCCAGGGAUGAAACCAACGAGAACAAAGACACAACAUACCAGAAUCUCUGGGACACCUUCAAAGCAGUGUGUAGAGGGAAAUUUAUAGCACUAAAUGCCCACACGAGAAAGCAGGAAAGAUCCAAAAUUGACACCUUAACAUCACAAUUAAAAGAACUAGAAAAGCAAGAGCAAACACAUUCAAAAGCUAGCAGAAGGCAAGAAAUAACUAAAAUCAGAGCAGAACUGAAGGAAAUAGAGACAAAAAAAAACCCUUCAAAAAAUUAAUGAAUCCAGGAGCUGGUUUUUUGAAAACAUCAACAAAAUUGAUAGACCGCUAGCAAGACUAAUAAAGAAAAAAAGAGAGAAGAAUCAAAUAGACACAACAAAAAAUGAUAAGGGGGAUAUCACCACCGAUCCCACAGAAAUACAAACUACCAUCAGAGAAUACUACAAACACCUCUAUGCAAAUAAACUAGAAAAUCUAGAAGAAAUGGAUAAAUUCCUCGACACAUACACUCUCCCAAGACUAAACCAGGAAGAAGUUGAAUCUCUGAAUAGACCAAUAACAGGACCUGAAAUUGUGGCAAUAAUCAAUAGCUUACCAACCAAAAAGAGUCCAGGACCAGAUGGAUUCACAGCCG
rnacentral:lncRNA from 1 species